ACCAAAUCCUAGAACUUCACCUUUUUCAAUUAUUCAUAAAACUAGCCAAUUUGGAUCCACAUUUCCAAUCAUCUCUCAAAUAUUUUCCCGUCGAGAACAACAGAUUUAUCAAUGGCUUCCAAAGCAAGCAGCUCCAUUUCCCAAACCUUGAAACGAUACAUCAAGAAGCCAUGGGAGGUAACCGGACCUUGCACCGACCCAGAGUACAAAAUUGCUUUGCCCAAGGCCACGGAGUAUCGUAUUCGCUGCCCGGCCACCACUUUGCAAAAGCCCAUUGUCCCCACUUCCGACCCCGAAACCGUCUUCGACAUCAAGUAUUACGCCCGCGAUCAACGCCGCAACCGCUCCCCGAUCCGCCGCACCGUCUUGAAGAAAGCCGACGUUGAGAAAAUGAUGAAAGAGAACACGUUCGAUGUCAACGAUUUCCCUAAGGUUUACUUGACUGCUAAAUUUGAAGAAGAUGAAAAUGCCGUAAGUGGAGGCUACCAGAAAUAGGCCUAUGGAACCUGUGGAAAUUUAGUAUGCACCAGUUUCCUUACGUUUCGCUGUCUUGCUGUGAACAAAUGCCGGCCAUCUUAACAUAACAGUUUCUUGAGACUCUUGAAAACUAAAGAGGAUGCAGUGUCCGACAUGAAAAAGCAAGCAUUGUUGAAAUUAAACCCCAACCGACCAAACCGAUCCAGUAUGCAAGAUGAGACAGCACAUUAACUGUAUCCUAGAAAACCGAAAAAACAAACGGAUCUGGUACGUCAUAUGAGACUGCUUGAAAGUUUAAAUAAUUUGAUUAUCAAUCUUCUGGAA